GUGUAUGUCAGUGUGUUUGUCUGUCACGGAGAGUGUGUCUGCCAGUGAAUGUGUAUGUCUGUCAGUGUGUGUGUGUGUCACUGAGUGUGUGUGUGUCUGUCAGCUAAUGUAUGUGUGUCUGUCAGUGAAUGUGUGUGUCUAUCAGUGUGUGUGUCUAUGACACUGAGUUGGUGUGUGUCUGACAGGCAAAGAGCAUGAAGUAGGUUUAUGGCUAAGGCUUACCAUGGUUCAUGGAGUGGGGAAAACUUACCCCUGGUAUUUGAGUGGGACAGUCUUGACAGGAUCAAGAGCUGGAUACUGGAGAUUAAGUCUUGUCUGCUGGGAAGUCUGGGAGCAGUGGAAACCACACCCUCCUCCUGACAUCAUCAGAGGAGGCCGGGUGACACUGCCAAGUUCCUGUGUGUUGGUUGCAGGGACAGCGAGGUAGGCUGUAGUUAUUGGAAAUAUCAUAGUUCCCAGCCAGAGGCAGGGGAUUCCGAUUUUUGUGCCCCCUUGCUCUGGCGCCCUAUGGCAGCCAUCGAUGCUGGCUUAUGGAUGCGCUGGCCCUGAUAACAAAUGUGUUUGAGACCGAGUGUCCAAUUCCUUGUAAAAAUCAAGUCUAUGAUCAAACAUUACCCGUUCAUGCUCCCUCCCCGUGUCAGGAUUACUAGCUGAUCCAGCUCGUAGAAUUGUGUCACACAGAUGACUAAUAGGUAACGUAUUAUCGGGCCUUAGAAUGGCCGGACUUAACGUACCAAAGAAUAGUCAGGGGAUACAGAAAGAGACGCGAUAAGAGAAAGCCAGAAGUCAG